GACAAUGUUUUAUCAUUGUUCUUGGUUUACAGACGUUACCCGUAAAUAAACUGGACCCCUGUUGUGUUUAUUUAUCGCUGCACUGAGCCUCCUGCACUACGAUGGAAUGGCGGACCAGUUUAAACAUGGUAAACAGAUAAACAGCUGAUUAAGUAACCUGUAAGAAGAAAUGAGUUAACUAUUGUUUAUAUUAGAGACGAGAAUGUCUCGUGUUUUGUUCUGCUCAGAAAAGCCGGAACCUUGGAGUUUAUGCCCCAGAAUGGUCAGAACAGUGGCAAAAGACUAAUCCAGAUUACCAAAAAAUAGAAAUUGUUCAGCUACCAUUCAUGCCAUAAGCAUGAUAAGAAAAAUUUUGCAGUUUCCAGAAUUUGAGGUAAUCAAGAUUUAGUGUUUCCAUGCAAGUGUCAAAGAUUGAACGACAAAACAUCUAAAACUUUACAGGACAGAGUAGACUUUUUUCACUGUGCUUCAUUUUGUCUUUAUGUCUAAAUAAUGAUACAUUUUAAAAAACCAAUAAAAUAUGGAAUAAAAAAGAUUGUUAUCUUAUAAAAUGGAGU